GGAAUGGUGGAGGAAAGGUGGGCUUGUCAGUAGCUCAUCUACCUCAACCUGACUAUGGAGGAGUAUAUCCCAAAUUCAUCUUUGGAGGAAACAAAGAUGGAAGUUCAUUCUUCUUACAUGAAUACCAGCAAAGUGCAUAGGUCAGAAGAAUCAAUUAUCUGGACAAUUCAACUAUAACAACCUGCUAUUUUGGGAGGAAAUUGGCCUCUGUUUUGUAGAUUAAUCAUCAAUAUUACCUGA